GACGAACGCUGGCGGCGUGCUUAACACAUGCAAGUCGAACGGAAAGGCCCUGCUUUUGUGGGGUGCUCGAGUGGCGAACGGGUGAGUAACACGUGAGUAACCUGCCCUUGACUCUGGGAUAACUUCAGGAAACUGGGGCUAAUACCGGAUAGGAGCUCCUGCUGCAUGGUGGGGGUUGGAAAGUUUCGGCGGUUGGGGAUGGACUCGCGGCUUAUCAGCUUGUUGGUGGGGUAGUGGCUUACCAAGGCUUUGACGGGUAGCCGGCCUGAGAGGGUGACCGGCCACAUUGGGACUGAGAUACGGCCCAGACUCCUACGGGAGGCAGCAGUGGGGAAUAUUGCACAAUGGGCGGAAGCCUGAUGCAGCAACGCCGCGUGCGGGAUGACGGCCUUCGGGUUGUAAACCGCUUUCGCCUGUGACGAAGCGUGAGUGACGGUAAUGGGUAAAGAAGCACCGGCUAACUACGUGCCAGCAGCCGCGGUGAUACGUAGGGUGCGAGCGUUGUCCGGAUUUAUUGGGCGUAAAGGGCUCGUAGGUGGUUGAUCGCGUCGGAAGUGUAAUCUUGGGGCUUAACCCUGAGCGUGCUUUCGAUACGGGUUGACUUGAGGAAGGUAGGGGAGAAUGGAAUUCCUGGUGGAGCGGUGGAAUGCGCAGAUAUCAGGAGGAACACCAGUGGCGAAGGCGGUUCUCUGGGCCUUUCCUGACGCUGAGGAGCGAAAGCGUGGGGAGCGAACAGGCUUAGAUACCCUGGUAGUCCACGCUGUAAACGGUGGGUACUAGGUGUGGGGUCCAUUCCACGGGUUCCGUGCCGUAGCUAACGCUUUAAGUACCCCGCCUGGGGAGUACGGCCGCAAGGCUAAAACUCAAAGGAAUUGACGGGGCCCCGCACAAGCGGCGGAGCAUGCGGAUUAAUUCGAUGCAACGCGUAGAACCUUACCUGGGUUUGACAUGGAUCGGGAGUGCUCAGAGAUGGGUGUGCCUCUUUUGGGGUCGGUUCACAGGUGGUGCAUGCCUGUCGUCAGCUCGUGUCGUGAGAUGUUGGGUUAAGUCCCGCAACGAGCGCAACCCUUGUUCACUGUUGCCAGCACGUUAUGGUGGGGACUCAGUGGAGACCGCCGGGGUCAACUCGGAGGAAGGUGGGGAUGACGUCAAGUCCUCAUGCCCCUUAUGUCCAGGGCUUCACGCAUGCUACAAUGGCUGGUACAGAGAGUGGCGAGCCUGUGAGGGUGAGCGAAUCUCGGAAAGCCGGUCUCAGUUCGGAUUGGGGUCUGCAACUCGACCUCAUGAAGUCGGAGUCGCUAGUAAUCGCAGAUCAGCAACGCUGCGGUGAAUACGUUCCCGGG
rnacentral:rRNA from 1 species